rnacentral:rRNA from 1 species
CUACGGGUUGCUCCAGUGGGGAAUAUUGGACAAUGGGGGAAACCCUGAUCCAGCAAUGCCGCGUGUGUGAAGAAGGCCUGCGGGUUGUAAAGCACUUUCGGUUGGGAGGACUGCUUCUAGCACUAAUAUUGUUGGAAGUUGACGUUACCUUCAGAAGAAGCACCGGCUAACUCCGUGCCAGCAGCCGCGGUAAUACGGAGGGGGCAAGCGUUAAUCGGAAUUACUGGGCGUAAAGCGCGCGUAGGCGGCUAGAUCAGUCGGGUGUGAAAGCCCCGGGCUAACCUGGGAACUGCAUCCGAUACUGUCUAGCUUGAGUACAGGAGAGGAGAGUGGAAUUCCACAUGUAGCGGUGAAAUGCGUAGAUAUGUGGAGGAACACCAAUGGCGAAGGCAGCUCUCUGGCCUGAUACUGACGCUGAGGUGCGAAAGCGUGGGGAGCAAACAGGAUUAGAUACCCGAGUAGUC